rnacentral:rRNA from 1 species
AAUCAACGCUGGCGGCGUGCCUAACACAUGCAAGUCGCACGAGAAAGGGACUUCGGUCCUGAGUACAGUGGCGCACGGGUGAGUAACACGUGAAUCAUCUACCUUCGAGUGGGGAAUAACUGAGAGAAAUCUUAGCUAAUACCGCAUAAUACCUACGGGUCAAAGCAGCAAUGCGCUUGAAGAGGAGUUCGCGGCAGAUUAGUUAGUUGGCAGGGUAAUGGCCUACCAAGACGAUGAUCUGUAUCCGGCCUGAGAGGGCGCACGGACACACUGGAACUGAAACACGGUCCAGACUCCUACGGGAGGCAGCAGUGGGGAAUUUUGCGCAAGUGGGGGAAACCCUGACGCAGCAACGCCGCGUGGAGGAUGAAAUCCCUUGGGAUNUAAACUCCUUUCGANCGGGAAGAUAAUGACGGUACCGAGAGAAGAAGCCCCGGCUAACUUCGUGCCAGCAGCCGCCGUAAU